rnacentral:rRNA from 1 species
GACGGGGGGUGCUAGCGUUGUUCGGAAUUACUGGGCGUAAAGCGCGCGUAGGCGGUGCUGCAAGUCGGGGGUGAAAGCCUCAGGCUCAACCGGGGGACUGCCAGCGAUACUGCGGGUCUCGAGUGCGGGAGAGGUGAGUGGAAUUCCUAGUGUAGAGGUGAAAUUCGUAGAUACUAGGAAGAACACCGGUGGCGAAAGCGGCCCACUGGCCCGGUACUGACGCUGAGGCGCGAAAGCGUGGGGAGCGAACAGG